AUUGAACGCUGGCGGCAGGCUUAACACAUGCAAGUUGAGCGGGGUGAUGGUGCUUGCACUAUCACUUAGCGGCGGACGGGUGAGUAAUGCUUAGGAAUCUGCCUAUUAUUGGGGGACAACAUCUCGAAAGGGAUGCUAAUACCUCAUACGUCCUACGGGAGAAAGCAGGGGAUAACUUGUUACCUUGCGCUAAAAGAUGAGCCUAAGUCGGAUUAGCAAGUUGGUGGGGUAAAGGCCUACCAAGGCGACGAUCUGUAGCGGGUCUGAGAGGAUGAUCCGCCACACUGGGACUGAGAAACGGCCCAGACUCCUACGGGAGGCAGCAGUGGGGAAUAUUGGACAAUGGGGGGAACCCUGAUCCAGCCAUGCCGCGUGUGUGAAGAAGGCCUUAUGGUUGUAAAGCACUUUAAGCGAGGAGGAGGCUCUUUUGGUUAAUACCCAAGAUGAGUGGACGUUACUCGCAGAAUAAGCACCGGCUAACUCUGUGCCAUCCGCCGCCGUAA
rnacentral:rRNA from 1 species